rnacentral:rRNA from 1 species
GCAGCCGCGGUAACACCGGCAGCUCUAGUGGUAGCAGUUUUUAUUGGGCCUAAAGCGUCCGUAGCCGGUUUAAUAAGUCUCUGGUGAAAUCCUGUAGCUUAACUGUGGGAAUUGCUGGAGAUACUAUUAGACUUGAGACCGGGAGAGGUUAGAGGUACUCCCAGGGUAGAGGUGAAAUUCUGUAAUCCUGGGAGGACCGCCUGUUGCGAAGGCGUCUAACUGGAACGGUUCUGACGGUGAGGGACGAAAGUUAGGGGCGCGAACCGGAUUAGAUACCCC